rnacentral:rRNA from 1 species
AGCGUCAAAAGGGCGUCUGGUGGAUGCCUUGGUGGCAAGAGGCGAUGAAGGACGUGGCACGCUGCGUUAAGUUCCGGGGAGUUGCGAGCAGACUUUGAUCCGGAAAUUUCCGAAUGGGGAAACCCACCUUCACCAUUUCUUUCAUUGUUCGUUCGCGGACAUUGAGAGAGGUGGAUAAGGUAUCACCUUAGUGAAUAUAUAGCUUUGGUGAAGCAAACCCGGGGAACUGAAACAUCUCAGUACCCGGAGGAAAAGACAUCAACCGAGAUUCCCGUAGUAGUGGCGAGCGAACCGGGACCAGGCCAGUGCCUUUUCAUAACUUAGCAGAACUCUCUGGAAAGUGAGACCGUAGUGGGUGAUAGUCCCGUAUGCGAAAACGAUUGAAAAGGACUUGAGUAGGGCGGGACACGUGAAAUCCUGUCUGAACAUGGGGGGACCACCCUCCAAGCCUAAAUACUCGUACAUGACCGAUAGCGAACACAGUACCGUGAGGGAAAGGUGAAAA